CGCACUUUGGUGGCUGCGCUGCCCCCGGGCACUGCGCUCAGCAGUUCUCACAGGCAGCAGUCCUUGGCCAUGGGAGUACCCAGGGACACAGCCAUCACUGGAGAUGCUGGAGGUGAACAGAGACUGUACAUCCCCGGACAGCGAGAGAAGGGCAGAGCUGGUGUGCCAGCAUACUGCCUGCACUGGUUGCCCUUUGGGCGCUGGCAGCAGCACGCACAAACCCAGCAGCCCCCUGAACAGGGCUGGCUCCCUGGGCAGUGCUGAGCCUGGGGUAGCUUCGUGCUGAAAGCAGUCUGGUCCCUUCCCAAGGAGCUGCUCACAAGGAAUGCAUGGGGCUGGGAGGCUGAGCUCUGCCAUGGGGCAGCGGGCCGUCAGGAGGGGCCUGUGAGCAGUGCUGCCCCAUGGCACUGAGCCCUGUGGCUGUUCCCACACUUGGCCAGUGCUCAGGGCUGGCCUGGCCUGAGCUGGGAGCAGGGACAGCCAGCACUGGCAGAGGCGGCUCCCAGACAUCCCUCCCGGGUGACUCACGCCGUGAUCUGUGCAUGGAGUUUGGGGCACUGUGAGCCUCUUCCCUUUCUUUUCUCCCAAUAAAUCGGGGCUGCGGAGCUGGGGGGUGGCAGGUGGGGGAGCGUGGAGCGAGCAGAGGCUGUGGGUGCCCAUUUCCCAGCUGGGUGCGCUCAGGGGGGGCCAUGCCGGAUGCAGGGAGCCGUGCUGGAGCUGCACCAUCUGCUUCUUGUCAGGCUGCUGGGAGCACCGCGGCUCCAGGGCCGGCAGUGGGACAUGGCUGUGAUGGAUGGUGUGUUUAUCAUGCUCUAGCGCUACUCAGGAUGUUAGUGCUCGCCUGCAAGAGAUGUUUCUGUGCUCGGCUGCUCCCUCCAUCCUCUCCUCCUCCUUCUCUCCCCAGACCCUCUCCCUUGAGCCCACACGGGGGGGUGGGGGUGUCCGUCCCACAGCCUCCAGCCCUGCCUGUGGCUGAGCUCCCAGGACCAGCACUGAAGCCUUCCCACAGAGGAGCUGCAGGCUCCUCUGGUGAGGACAGGAAUGGAGACAGGGACAGGGCUAUGCAGGGCUUGCACAUGCUCCUCAUCCCCCAGGGGACAUAAAGGAACAGAGUGCAGGGAGAAUGUACUGUGUGAGACCUGCAUCCCACAUCACCUCGGGGGCGUCCUGGCCCCAUACUGUACAGCCACCCCAGCAGUCACAUCCAUGUAGUUUGAGACUACAGGCAGGGACUCCCCAGUGCUGGGCCAGGUUCCGGGUCCUACAGCCCCACAGACGCACAGUUGGGAUGCGGCAGUGGGCGGUGUGCAGCCCUUCUCCAAGCACAGAGGUUUAUCUGUGCGAUGCCGCAGCCAGCCCAGCCCCAUCCCCCCCACCAGCCCCCAGCCUCAUCUAUCCUGCAGCCGCGAUGCCUGGCGGAACAGCCACACACAGCCAUGCGUGGCACAGCACACAUCGAGAGCAGCUGGGGGCUCCUCCAUGUCUCCCAGC
ensembl:lncRNA